rnacentral:rRNA from 1 species
UACGAAGGGGGGCUAGCGUUGUUCGGAAUUACUGGGCGUAAAGCGCACGUAGGCGGCUUUGUAAGUUAGAGGUGAGAGCCCGGGGCUCAACCCCGGAAUUGCCUUUAAGACUGCAUCGCUUGAAUCCAGGAGAGGUGAGUGGAAUUCCGAGUGUAGAGGUGAAAUUCGUAGAUAUUCGGAAGAACACCAGUGGCGAAGGCGGCUCACUGGACUGGUAUUGACGCUGAGGUGGCGAAAAGCGUGGGGAGCAAACAGGAUUAGAAA